UAUAAACAAAUCAAUGUGUUAAACUCUGCUGAGAAAGCAAAGAGGGUUGUGAAUGUGAGAGAGAUUGAAAGCUUGAAUGUUAAAAUCAGCAAUAUGAUUGAGGAACAUAAUAAAUUAAAAUCUGAACUGCACAUCAAAGAGAAUAGAUUGUCUGACCUUCAGAAUGAACUCACAGAAUCACAGGGGUCAUUGGCCAGGAGUGAAAUAACAAUUGAGAAUCACAACAUUUUAAUAUCAAUGAAGGAUAACAAGAUUAGUGAGGUUGAAACGGACAUAAAAAUGAAGGAAAUGUUGAUUAGAAGUAAAUCGGAUGAGAUUGCGGAAAUGAAGAAAACUCAGCUUGUUAUGAAAAACAAACU